rnacentral:rRNA from 1 species
UACGUAGGGGGCUAGCGUUGUCCGGAAUCAUUGGGCGUAAAGCGCGUGUAGGCGGCCCGGUAAGUCCGCUGUGAAAGUCGGGGGCUCAACCCUCGGAAGCCGGUGGAUACUGUCGGGCUCGAGUACGGAAGAGGCGAGUGGAAUUCCUGGUGUAGCGGUGGAAUGCGCAGAUAUCAGGAGGAACACCGAUGGCGAAGGCAGGUCUCUGGGCCACUACUGACGCUGAGAAGCGAAAGCAUGGGGAGCGAACAGG